rnacentral:rRNA from 1 species
GUCGAGAAUCUUCCGCAAUGCGCGAAAGCGUGACGGAGCGACACCGCGUGAUGGAUGAAGUCCUUCGGGGCGUAAACAUCUUUUAUAAAGGAGGAAAUUUUUGACGUUACUUUAUGAAUAAGGGGCUCCCAAUCUCGUGCCAGCAGGAGCGGUAAUACGAGAGCCUCAAGCGUUAUCCGGAAUCAUUGGGCGUAAAGGGUGCGUAGGUGGUUUGAUUAGUCUCCCGUUAAAACUUCGAGCUUAACUCGAAAAGAGCGGGGGAAACGGUCAAACUAGAGUAUAUGAGAGGUGUGUGGAACUCAUGGUGUAGGGGUGAAAUCCGUUGAUAUCAUGGGGAACACCAAAAGCGAAGGCAGCACACUGGCACAUCACUGACACUGAGGCACGAAACCUAAGGUAGCGAAUGGGAUUAGAUACCCGAGUAGUCC